GCAGAAUCAGUGAGAAUACUGUAAGAGUCCUUUGGGAAAAUGAUAAAAUAAGGAUAAGGAGCCAAAGGACUUACUGUGCCUUGCACUUUUGUCAGUUGGUAGGAACUAGGAAAUGUCUGCAAUAUGUUACUAUUUUCUCCCAACUAAUCUCUGCAUUAUUGCAUUUCCUAUAAACACUAGAGAAAAUUGCAGCAUAAGAUCACUUUUAAAUGGCUUUGAUUUUUUUUGCCACAUCUAAUGCACUAUGGUUUGGUGUCAGCAUAACAUAUGCUUUCUUCGUCCCGUCAGGCAUGAUUGAUGUAUUUACUUUCUUCAAUUCAAUCUUAAACAGUUUCUUUACAGCAUCCCUUAUGCUCUUCUUGUCAGCAUCUUUGUGAACAACAAAAACCAAAGUAUUAUGACGUAAUAUAUUCCCCAUAGUAGACUCAGUUUUCAGAGGAUAUUGGAUGACCUGGUAACAUUCAAGUUUGUUCCUCUGUGACACACUAUUGUUGAGACGCUUGGGAUUUCUCUCCACUUUCAACAUCUUCUUCCGUUCAGAUGAGACUGAAUUUUGGAUAUCUAAUACACGCCUAUUGGUUGUUUCAUCCGAUUUCACUGUAAUGGCAUAUGCUACCCUUUGUU
rnacentral:misc_RNA from 1 species